rnacentral:rRNA from 1 species
UACGUAGGGAGCAAGCGUUGUCCGGAAUCAUUGGGCGUAAAGCGCGCGUAGGUGGCUUCGUAAGUCCGUUGUGAAAGUCAAAGGCUCAACCUUUGAAAGCCGAUGGAUACUGCGGAGCUAGAGUACGGAAGAGGCGAGUGGAAUUCCUGGUGUAGCGGUGGAAUGCGCAGAUAUCAGGAGGAACACCGGUGGCGAAGGCGGGUCUCUGGGCCGAAAUUGACGCUGAGGAGCGAAAGCGUGGGGAGCGAACAGG